rnacentral:rRNA from 1 species
ACUCCUACGGGAGGCAGCAGUGGGGAAUUUUGGACAAUGGGCGAAAGCCUGAUCCAGCCAUUCCGCGUGAGUGAAGAAGGCCUUCGGGUUGUAAAGCUCUUUCGCAAGGGAAGAAACCUUAUAUUCUAAUAAAGUAUGAGGAUGACGGUACCUUGAUAAGAAGCACCGGCUAACUACGUGCCAGCAGCCGCGGUAAUACGUAGGGUGCGAGCGUUAAUCGGAAUUACUGGGCGUAAAGCGUGCGCAGGCGGUUUUGAAAGUCAGAUGUGAAAUCCCCGAGCUCAACUUGGGAACUGCGUUUGAAACUCCAAAGCUAGAGUAUAGGAGAGGGGGGUAGAAUUCCACGUGUAGCAGUGAAAUGCGUAGAGAUGUGGAGGAAUACCAAUGGCGAAGGCAGCCCCCUGGCCUAAUACUGACGCUCAUGCACGAAAGCGUGGGGAGCAAACAGGAUUAGAUACCCUGGUAGUCCACGCCCUAAACGAUGUCUACUAGUUGUUGGUGGAGUAAAAUCCAUUAGUAACGCAGCUAACGCGUGAAGUAGACCGCCUGGGGAGUACGGUCGCAAGAUUAAAACUGAAAGGAAUUGACGG